rnacentral:SRP_RNA from 1 species
UCGCACAGCCGGGGAGGUAGCGGUGCCCUGUACUUGCAAUCCGCUAUAGCAAGGGUGAUGUUCUUUCUCGGGUGGUGCUUGUAUGGUCUGUCCUGUAGAAACGGUGUUGAGAUUUGGGUCCCGUGCAACAAAUUGGCUGUGAACCUCGUCAGGUCGGGAACGAAGCAGCGAUAAGCAGUCAAAUUUGUGUGCCCCGGGGUCGCCUGAGUUGAGUCGUUUGUGCAGGCAACGCAUGGAGGUAUCAUUCAAAAAAGAACGUGCGG